CGUAGGAUCUGCUUGGAGAUUAGUGCGGUUAUCAAGAUGAUUGCAAUGUAGUCAUGCUUGGUCACUUGCCCACAAAUUACGCAACAUUAAAAUGCGGUAUCGCUUGCUAGCUAAACCGCGCUAUGUUUACCGCCUAUCUACCUUCACUUUCUUGGAACCUCGCCUAAUAUUGUGACAUCAUAAACGCGUUUGACGUUUAGUGUGGCCUCGUGAAUUAUUACAUUAGUCAUUGUGUGACUAUUUCUAUGACGUUCUAGAACGACCGCCACUGACCAAACCGAUCACUUCUCGAACGAAUACCGUCGCUAUGGUAACAUAUACAUGUAAACAAACAGGUAAGCGAGAUUUUACUGGUGCUGACUUUUUCACUGACAAGUGGUUGACAGCAAGACAAAGCACAACGGAACGGAUGGGGGUCCUGAAUGAUGGACAACUGACGACAUCCAGGCGUUUUGUCUGUCUCCCCAGAGUUCAGAGGUCACGCACCUUGACUGCCAACGUCCCAGGCGCUUCCCCGGUCAGGUCACAAAGGAGCCAAGCAGAGCUUAGAUAGCCAUGAACCAAACAGGGCUUUGAACCAGGGUAUUGAAGGCAGCCAGUCGGAGAUGGCAGACUUCACCCCAUUGCAUAUCAUCUUAUUUGCGAAGGAACAGUUGGAAAUAAAUUGUGUUGCGUCUACCAACAUGUACUCGUACAAUGACCUCUGUUUCCCUUCUCAGUAUAUUGUGGUGUAUUUGGGUGAACGGUGACUUGAAAAACACAGAAGAAUACUGAAUUUAUUCAUUUUUAUGUUCUUCGAAUUCAGAAACGUGGACACAUAUUGGAGGGCCUGCAUGCUCCUUUCCGUACGGUGUAUGCAGCCUAUUUUGAUUUCCCAUAUAUUUCGCUGGAAAAGCCGUUUGAUUCAUGUUAUUUGCAGGGUAAAUAUGCGUAAUUUUCUUCCUCAGUAGUCGGAACCCCCAUGCAGAACCUCAUAUUGAUGUUCUAAAAAAACAAAACAAUUCCACGGUAUCUUGUGCUAUCUUCUUGAAUACACGGAUGGAUCUUGACGAUGGUACAUAUCGUGAAUAGAAGGACACAAUAUUGCUCCUUUCCCCAGACGCCCCAAACUCCAGAUGUUACGCACCUGGUUGGAAUAACCGUUAGGUCACAGCAAGUAAAUUUUAUGGAUGGUAUCCCCUCACGACUGCAAAAAUAGUAAGAUAUGGCGAGAAAAGAACAGAGACAAGAAUAGUAGAGAAAAGAAUAAGAAAAAAAGCAAGAUGACUGAGUUUUCACAAAAGAGACCAUAAACGUUGUAACAAGGAAGUGACAAAAUAGCGUACCUCAGCAAA